UGAAAAUCCCAAGUGAUGAGCUUGGGAUUUUUGACAUUGCUCCAGAAACAAAGCAACUUUUGCAUGCAACUUCCAUCUGCAGAUCUGUGUCUAAUUUGAGGCGACCUGAAAAGCCAAGACGUGUUGAAGACUGGUGACGACCAGGACUACGUCAGCUAGAACCCCUGAGAACAAAGCUUUCAUUGUGUUCAGAUAAGGAACAAAAGAUUGAUCCCAGCCAUGACAGCUGGAAUGCACCACAGACUUUAACUUGCUGAAUGAAGACCUACAAGGAGAAUCUGCUCUUCUCUCUGUUCUCUUUCAUUGGUUCAUCGGGUCAAUAGCUGAUCUAUUCUGUGGACCAUGUGUCCAAAUCCUUAGGAUAUUUUUUAGCAUGUUACGUGGGUUAAUGCCAGCAUAUUCUGUUGGUAGCCAGCAUGAUCCUUAUAGUUGAAUUUGUUAAUCUGAUCAGAGUUUGUCUGUUCUCUAGUGGUGUGUGUUAAUCCCAUUCAGUUCAUCUAGAAGCCAUGGUUUACCCUUUAAUAAUUUGUGCGCACACACCUUUUUCAUCCUGGUUUACCAGGGUAGCUUUCCCAAAUGUCUCUCUCUGCUAGUAGUACUUUUUGUUUGUAUCAGCUGAGCCUCAGCUAUGAAUUUAGGUGCACACCUGAGCAUGCCACAUUCAA